CUGAAAUGACUGGAGGGGAAGCCACAGUUGAUGC
rnacentral:sRNA from 1 species